AGACUGUAUCGUGUCCAUUUUACAGACUGUGAAACUGAGCCUAGCUGCGGUCACACAAAGGAAAAGGCGAGGGUCAGAAGCUGAGCCUGCUUUCAGGCUCCAUAGCCAGAACCUGGAAGAACCUGGUUCAUGGGCGUUCUGGCUGUGAGAUGAGCGCCGCCACAGAAGAUCCUCACGGCGUUUUCUGAGCUCCAGUGGCAGGACCUUCAGACAAAGGGCUCCAGACACAUUUCGUGGGUAUCCCUGGGGACAGGUGUGCACUCAAGACUCCUUCUGGAGCAGCUUAGCCAGCAUCGAGCGCUACUUUCCUUUCAGCUCCGUUGGGAGGCAAGCUCCUGAGUUCACUGAGGGCAGGACGGUUGGAGUCUCUGGGGAAACAGAGGUGGGGAGAGGGUAGUGGCCCCCCAGAGCAAGGAAGUCUGGCCAUGGAUGAGGCCAAGCCUUGUAGCAGACGGACGGCAGAGUUAGGAUGGAGAGGGCGAGCACCCCCACCUGGCAGACCAGUGACUGAGGCCCAGAGGUGGAAAGACAGUAGUAUCCCACGACCUGGGGAAGGAGUAUUCAUCCAGCAUGCGGGAAGAAAUACAUUUGGGGCAAAGUGGAGACCUGGCCUGGUAACCAGAAGCUGUUGAGGUGACAAAUGAGAAUGACAGCAGCAAACUCCAACACGGCAUCCACUCCAGACUAGCGCCAGGCUUCACCCCUCAUCUCUCUCGGUUUCCUAAGCAACACCACAAAAUGCUGGUCUGUGAGGUCAGACAUCCCAGGUGUGAAUAUCAGCUCUGCCACUUUCUGGCUGUACGACCUUGGACAAGUAAUUUUACCUCCCUGGGACUCGUGGGUUUUUUUUUUUGUUUGUUUGUUUGUUUCUGCCUAUAGACUGUGAUAACAUUUGAUGUUAGCGUUAUAGCAGUAGUAAACGGUACAUGGGUGUCCCUCAACUUACAAUGUGAUGGAAAAUAUCAUUAAGUCAAAAUGCAUUUGGUACCCUUAGUCUAUGGAGCAUCACAGCCCCGGCCCGGCCCAGCUUCUUUCAACCUGCUCAGAUGCACACAUGAGCACACAGGCCCCUCAGCACCAAGCAGAGGAUGUCACGGGAUGAGGAACGGUUCACGGAGUCUGUCGAACGCUGGAAGUGAUCAGUGCGGCAGUGUGGCUAUCUAGAGGUGCUUCCCACUACUGCUCUAAGUGGGGUCAUUAUAACCCGGGGACCAGGAACCUCAGAAAACUCUCAACUUCCUCUUUGCUUGGAUUAUGAAAAUUAGAUGGACAAGAGAGAAAACUGUUGAGGGGAACAGCUCACUUUCAGAGCUGGGAGUGGAAGAGAAGGGACUUUUCCUAUAAAAGGUGUCACGGUUGAGGCUGGUGUAGUGGCCCGCGUCUAACAGCUGGCUUAGCACUUGGGAAGCUGAGACGAGAGGUUAAGAGUUGGAAAGCUCUGGGUAGAUGGAUACAUGGUGCAUAAGCACACACCUGAGUUCAGAUCCCCAGUACCUGUACAGAAGCCCUAGUGUGUGUGUUCCCAUGCACCCGUAGUCCUAGUGCAGA